UAAAGCGGCGCACGGGUGAGUAACACUGGAUGAUCUACCCUAUGGUGGGGAAUAACCCCUGGGAAAACUGGGGCUAAUACCGCAUAAGUUCGAGAGAAGAAAGCCGCAAGGCGCCAUUGGAGGAGUCCGCGGCCGAUUAGCUAGUUGGUGAGGUAAAAGCUCACCAAGGCGACGAUCGGUAGCCGGCCUGAGAGGGCACACGGCCACACUGGCACUGAAACACGGGCCAG
rnacentral:rRNA from 1 species